rnacentral:misc_RNA from 1 species
AUAGCGACUCAACUGAGCAACGCGGUUGAACGGCUUCAACGUAAUUUAAUGUCAUGAACCAAUCCGAUAUCGAACCCCUCGCUGCGCCGCCGGCCGUCGAGAUCCAGCGCGCCCAGGCACAGCGGCUGGAGAAAACGUGGGAAACGCCGUCAGGUUUUCGCUACUGGUCCUCGGUCAAUAAUUCUGACGUGGGACUUUGGUAUACCGGAAUGACAUUGUUUUUUCUGCUCUAUGGCGGCGUGCUGGCGCUCCUCAUGC